ACUGACAGCAAAUCUGCUCAGUAUCUCUACAUUAAAAAGAGCUGUAGUCAGCAUUUUCCUGAAGUGCUCUAUGAAUACACCAAUCUGUCAUGUAAUUUCAUAGCCUUCUGUUCCCUUAGAAACAGGAUCCUUCUCAAUCACCCUAAAGUUUCAUCUUUUCAGAGAAAAAGAAAUUUAAUUUUUGUAACUUGGCGGAAGAUAGAGCAAAGAACUCAAUCAACUUAAUCAAUACAUGUAUGGACAGCCUGGAAGGAUCUGUUGCAGUAAAUCAAAUCUUCUAUGCCAAAUAGAAGAGGCUUUCUUCUGGAAAAAAAAAAAAAAAAAAAGAAGUGAUACUUAACAAAGGGAUCACAAGAGAGAUACUACUGAAUAAAUGUGAAUCCAGCGGAACACACCUAUAUAUUUUGUGCCUUGUAAGGAAUUUUGCACACUUGUGUUAUUGUGAAAGAUUACUUUUUCUGAGUAAGUGCUGAACCCUGUUGCUGCCUUCUCAACCGAGUUAGGUAUGUUUACAUCCUCUGAAACAACAUCAGAAGAAAAUCUCGUGGAAUAUCCAGUGAUGAUCGGAACAUUUGACACAGAGGGGUAGCAGACACUAAAGAAUAGCAGCAAACCUUUUCUAGCUCAUGUUGUAGCACAUUCUGAUUUACUUGCCUGCUUGCUUAAAUCUGGGCUUGUAACUAUAAGUGAUCACAUCCUUGCUGGGGAAAAGUGCUUUUGUCUGUGAACAUUUAGUGUAGCCAUGGUGGAGCUUUCCUGCAUCUUUAGAAUUAUGCAAAAGACUUUAUCCUUUGGUUUCAAGGGGAUGGACCUAAGUGUUCCUACCUCCUUUGGUUGUCUUUGCAAUCAGGUUAAUUCUCUUGGGGAUUGGAAUGUGCACACAGAUAACUUCUGGCCUGCUGGCACUUUUGCAAGUUGUAACCAGUUUGUGGAAUUCAUUGCCACAGCUACUGCUGAGCUCAGUUGCCUCAUUUUAAAGAAGAUGGAAAAUGUUCUAUAUUUGGAAGAUAGCCCACUGGUUCAUGUAGAUGACAAUUGCCUGGAAUUACAACUUCAGUUGCAUGAGAAAGGGUUUCCUGAACUCCUCCAAAGUGCCUGGGCUGCGAUACUGCUCGAGAUGGAGCUGUAGCUGACGCAGUGCUCCUGAAUUUUGCUGCGGACAGUUGCCAUCUGGUGUUCUUAUGGCUGGAUAGCAUGAUAUUUGAAAGAUUAACAUGAAGAAGCAAAUAUGUGAAAUUGAAAAACAUGCACACUGUAUGAGUCAAAGGAGGGAAAUGCAGAACUGAACCUUAGAGGAUUUGUGUUUGAUAUGAUCAGAAUUCCUGUAUUGGGAAAAUGCCAUUAUAAUGCAGGAACUGAACCAGCUGCAAAGGAGUGCAAAAUUUACUUGUUUUGCUGGGUUAUUCUACUGGGAAGAACAUAGAGUUUGAUUCCUCUGAAUGGCAGGGUUUGGCCUUAGGAGCAUCUCCCAGCAGAUGCCUUCCACAGCAGAGUUAUUCAACCACCACCUGGCCAUCUCAAGCCAUGAACCAUUUCUUCUAGGACUUGAUAACCCAAUAAGAAUAAUGUCUGGACUGUGGCAUCACUACAUAAAAGUGUCGUAUUACCCUUUCCCAUAGAAGAGAGAGGGGCAGCAUCCUCUUGCAUCUUGUGAUUCCAGUUUCAUCAGUAAUUUGCUCAGGACCACAAACAGACAGAAUUCUGUUUUGGUUGUUAUUUGUCUUUCUUCAAGAUCUUGUCAUUUUUGUAUGUCCCUAAUGAUUCCAGCGUUCCAUAUGAUUCUGGAAUUGGGGAAGGUGGGGGAGAGAAGGGAGAAAGAGGUUAUUAUUUAGAUUCAUUGUUUGUUGUAGUUUUUUAAUCAUCUUUUUUUUCCUUCAACUGGGUUUUGUUCUUCGCGCUUAAAAAGUUGUGGUCUUUUUAGUACUUACCUUUAGAGUUGUGUUAGUGUUAAGCUUUAAGGCACUUAUAAGAAGGAUCAUUUCAGGUGACUGGGACCACACUCAUCAUUACUUCAGUGUGAAAGGUUCCUGUGAUAUCAGAAUUGCCUUCAGUGGUUAAAGACUUUUAAACUUUCUUUGAUUGUCUCUGUAAUAAGAGAUUUUGUAAUGAACUUCUGCUUCACGUGAACAUAGGUUAGUGUCACUGUAGUGGCAAAUGUAACAUGAAAAAAAUCUAAACAUAACCUCCCUUAGGUUUUAUGAAGGAUGGAGUCCCAGGGUCUAUCAAAUAGUGGGAUGAAACUAAUGUUUUCUAUCUAAUUUUAUAGAAGUUGAGGACUUACAAAACUUAAGAGUUUUCUCCAAGAGCUCAAUCUCUAAGCAGCAAAACUUACACCUGACAAGGUAUUUGAUUCUCUUGACCAAUGGAUUCAAUAAGAACAAGGCAGGGAAAGAGGAGAAAACAGUUAAUUUGUAACUCUACAGGGACCUGCAGACAACAGCUCAAGAUGUGCAGAAACCUAAUGGUGAAACAUUGUCCCCAGCGAUCACAAAUUCCAGAUCUGUGCAAAGGAUACAGAGAAGGGUACCCUUUGUAAUUGAGAAGCCAUUAUUACCAAGUCUCUAUUAACAGCAGACUGAAAGAGUCUUUUAGCACUUUUGUACUUCAUGCUGAAUAAAUUACACAUUUUGGAGCCCUCUCACAAAAAGCAAUUCCUUCCUGUUGCUUUUUACCUUUUCUGCGUGUUCUUGAGGUCUCAGGGCCGGCCUUCUGCUGUUCAGUGUUCCUUUUGCUUCCCCAAGGACAAUGCUGUUACAAAACGUACCUUUCUCACCUCUCUCUGUGCCUCCAGAAGGGCUACCUCUCACUUGUGCCCUCUGAAGAGAGAGGAUUAGCAGUGCAUUGUCUCUCCAGGAAACCAGAGGCAAAAGAGCAGGAGGUAUCUACAAGAGCAGCAAAACAGAAGGCACUAUAGAAACAUAUAAGAUAUGCUUGCUAUUAUAUGCUCUAUGGGCUUUAGAAAGGGGAUAACACUGGGGAACCCAGUAUAGACAAGUGGUCAGUAUUCAGACAUUUUUUCAUAUAUAUUGUAAGAAAUUUUUAAUAGAAGACAUUUUAAAUAAUUAUGGAGACUAUUUCAAGGGCAAAACAAGCCAAAUCAGCACUAAGAACCUGGUAGUGGUAUACAUUUAAAUCUAAAAUGAUCAGAAGUUAAUUUUUCAUGUAUUUUGUGCUAAAUAGACAGUGAUUUCCAAGGUUUAGCCAAAUAAGUUAGCGCUCUUAAAGUUUCUUUUCUGUGUUUUAAUAAGUUUUCCUGUUUUAAAUGCAGAUGUAAUUAAUAUAAUUAAAAGUUAUAAUAAUAUUCUCCGAGGGAAAAGAAAUAAAUUACUUGUCAGUCUAAUCUUUGUGUCUGUGUAUGUACCUGCGUGCAUAGAUAGAUAGAUAGAUUGAUAGGUACCUAAAUGUGUGUGUGUGUGUUUGAGUGGGGAUAUGGAUGUGGAAGUAUAAGCAUAUGCAAAUGUACCCUCCCUGCUCUUCCCCACACAAUAGAUUUCUUAAUUUUGUUAGUAUCUAAGGG